AGAAGUCCACGUGCAAUGUCUGCAGCGCGCGCCCGUCCGCCGCCACGGCGGCCAGCGUGCGGUUGGUGACGCGCGCGCAGUUCUCCAAGCGCAGUGCGCGCAGGCGUGGGCAGCAGCGCAGCAGGCGCGCCAGGCAGUCGUCGGUAACGUGGCCACAGCCCGACAGCGUGACGGACGCCAGGUUGGGGCACCUGUGAGGAGAGUGCGGUGACCCGGGGCUCACUGGCCUGUUAAAGCUACCCAACCGCCCCAUGGGACCGAGUGGACUCAUUUACCGAGGAGGACUCGGGCCCUGCGAGGUCACUUCAUCCUGGCCCAGGUACUGCAGCUCCAAAUCGUGGGGAUUCUGUAAGAGCUUGCUACCUGUUGACUGAGGAGGCCCACGAGUCGAGAAGAACUAGCAAGAGUGGUACAAAACUGCAGGUCAUUGGGCUGGCCACCAGGUAUUCCCACCCACCAGAAGCUGGCUGUUGUACUCACCCGGAACCAUGGUGCACCACCACAGCGGCGAGGUCAUACAGGCAGCUCUCCGGGCCACUGUUCUCAGGCUACAGAACAAGGAAGAAGGAGCAGUGGUCAAUGACAUCAGUAUCUCGAUGACCUCUACCCUCUCCAUGUGAUGACAAUCUUACUGAAGAGCCAUUUUUUCACCAUGCUAAAAAGGCCAGUUGGGUCCAGCAGCUUUGCCUCUCUACCCUUUCAUCACCAAAGUAUACUGCUGAGAAAGAAUCACAUGAAAAGAAAAAAGACUCAACAAGUCAUUCUCUCACAAGCAUGCAGUGGGGUGUUCCUGAGGCUGCAUGUGACAUCUCAAGAGACUGAAUGCAGAAGCAAUGUAAGAAUCCAGCUGUCUUCUAUAAAGCUGAACAAAGAGUUACAAAAAUGUAAAAUAAUGCCAUUCUUCCCACUAAAUUUUUGUUUUGAAAAACAUUUUACAUAAACUGUCAAUUUAUGUUAUGGGUAGUGGGUCUAUCAUUAUUUGUAAGCAUAUUAAUAAAUACAUAUUUUAAGUUUU